rnacentral:rRNA from 1 species
GACGAACCUUGCUAACGUUAUUCGGAAUUACUGGGCUUAAAGGGCUCGUAGGCGGCCAACUAAGUCAGACGUGAAAUCCCUCGGCUUAACCGGGGAACUGCCGUCCAAACUGCUUUGCUUGAGACCGGGAGAGGUGAGUGGAAUUCCCAGUGUAGCGGUGAAAUGCGUAGAUAUCAGGAGGAACACCGAUGGCGAAGGCAGCUCGCUGGGACGGUACUGACGCUGAGGCGACGAAAGCGUGGGGAGCAAACAGG